GAUGAACGCUAGCGGCAGGCCUAACACAUGAAAGUCGAGGGGUAGCAGGAUUAAGCUUGCUUAAUUGCUGACGACCGGCGCACGGGUGCGUAACGCGUAUGCAACCUACCUUAUACUGGGGUAUAGCCCGGAGAAAUUCGGAUUAAUCCCCCAUAGUACUAAUGAAUCGCCUGGUUUAUUAGUUAAAGCAUUGCGGUAUAAGAUGGGCAUGCGUCCGAUUAGCUAGAUGGUGGGGUAACGGCUUAACAUGGCUACGAUAGGUAGGGGGCCUGCGCGGGUGGUCCCCCACACUGGUACUGAGACACGGUCCAGACUCCUACGGGAGGCAGCAGUGAGGACUAUUGGUCAAUGGGCGCAAGCCUGAACCAGCCAUGCCGCGUGCAGGAAGAAGGCCCUAUGGGUUGUAAACUGCUUUUAUUUGGGAAUAAACCUCUUUACGUGUAGAGAGCUGAAGGUACCAAAUGAAUAAGCACCGGCUAACUCCGUGCCAGCAGCCGCGGUAA
rnacentral:rRNA from 1 species